GCCAAAUCUUAUGGCAACAUGACUUCACUUGCUUCUUUAUAGAAUUAAGUAGUAUAAUUUCCGUGUAAAACUUUGAAAUUGGCUGGGGUUAUUUGUUCUGUAAUUUAACAUUUUUUAAUUGUAACUAAAGUAAGAUCUCAUCACCCACACCCCUUAUUGGUAGUUCCCUUUAUCAUUUACUGCAUACUGAGCAACACGAGGAAAGAAUGUGUAAAAAUUUUCAUGAUUUGGGCCAUUUGACUCUUAAAAAUUUUAAGAUUUGUUGACAGCAUAGUUCACUAUGAAAUGGAGUUGAAACUCUCGGAUAUAAAUUACAAAAUUACAAAUCUCUUGCAAACUCAUAGAAAGAACAAUGCACUGAAUGAUUGAUCUGCUGGUGGGUGUGUGUGUGUGUGUGUUUUAGAGAGAGAUGAUUUUUAUUUUGUUGCAGCAGGGUAUCAAGGUAACUCUUGUUUUAUAAUCAAGGUAUCUACUGUACAGCCACAUGGAUGACACUUUUGGAGAAAGAAUAAGUUGCGUACUCUCCAAAUACUUGUAGUGCCCAAAGAUGGGUUGCAUCCUAGCCAACAUUUCAACCUCCAUCUUAUUAUAUUUCCACUCCAUUUGUCUCAAGUAGCGGGGUGGAAGAAUGAUGAGAUACAUCCAGAGUGCUUCCAAUUGUGGAAGAAUGAUCAUGCAAAGGUCUCCUUGUAAUCUGUGCCAUGAAAAUUAGACUAUAUGUAAUGUAUUCUUUUUCUCAAAAGGGAACUCAUCAUGAUUGUUUAUAUGACAGUUUAUUAUAGUCUCCUCUCUGAUUCCAAUUCUAUUUAAUAUCCUUAGUCGCAUUGAACAUAUACCCCUUAUUUAUGUACAAGACAUUGGCUUUAUGAGUCAUUAUUAUAAACCAUAUACAAUGUGAUAUAUGCA